rnacentral:rRNA from 1 species
CCUACGGGAGGCAGCAGUGGGGAAUAUUGCACAAUGGGGGAAACCCUGAUGCAGCGACGCCGCGUGAGUGAAGCAGUAUUUCGGUACGUAACGCUCUAUCAGCAGGGCAGAAAAUGACGGUACCUGACUAAGAAGCCCCGGCUAACUACGUGCCAGCAGCCGCGGUAAUACGUAGGGGGCAAGCGUUAUCCGGAUUUACUGGGUGUAAAGGGAGCGUAGACGGCAGCGCAAGUCUGGAGUGAAAUCCCAUGGCUUAACCAUGGAACUGCUUUGGAAACUGUGCAGCUAGAGUGCAGGAGAGGUAAGCGGAAUUCCUAGUGUAGCGGUGAAAUGCGUAGAUAUUAGGAGGAACACCAGUGGCGAAGGCGGUUUACUGGACUGUAACUGACGUUGAGGCUCGAAAGCGUGGGGAGCAAACAGGAUUAGAUACCCUUGUAGUC